CAGGGGGUAUUUUAUUGAAAAUGUUAAUUUUGGGGAUUAAUGAAAUGGUGUGUAGCCUUUCCUCUGA
rnacentral:tRNA from 1 species